AUCUAUGACCAUACCACCCUGAACGCGCCUGAUCUCGUCUGAUCUCAGAAGCUAAGCAGAGUCAGGCUUAGUUAGUACUUGGAUGAGAGCAUAUUGGGAUUGAAUACUGGCAGCAUCAUUUACC
rnacentral:rRNA from 1 species